rnacentral:rRNA from 1 species
UACAGAGGGUGCGAGCGUUAAUCGGAAUUACUGGGCGUAAAGCGUGCGUAGACGGCUAUCUAAGUCGGGUGUGAAAGCCCCGGGCUCAACCUGGGAAUUGCAUUCGAGACUGAAUAGCUAGGGUACGGUAGAGGGAAGUGGAAUUUCCGGUGUAGCGGUGAAAUGCGUAGAUAUCGGAAGGAACAUCAGUGGCGAAAGCGACUUCCUGGACCAGUACCGACGUCAGGCACGA